rnacentral:rRNA from 1 species
UACGGAGGGUGCAAGCGUUAUCCGGAUUCACUGGGUUUAAAGGGUGUGUAGGCGGGUCUGUAAGUCAGUGGUGAAAUCUCCGAGCUCAACUUGGAAACUGCCAUUGAUACUAUAGAUCUUGAAUUUUGUUGAGGUAGGCGGAAUAUGUCAUGUAGCGGUGAAAAUGCAUAGAUAUGACUAGAAACACCGAUUGACGAAGGCAGCUUACUAAGCAAAAUAUUGACGUGAGGCACGAAAGCGUGGGGAUCAAAACAGGA